GCGUUGCUAGCUCAGUUGGUAGAGCACCUGACUCUUAAUCAGGGUGUCCAGGGUUCGAGCCCCUGGCGACGCA
rnacentral:tRNA from 1 species